rnacentral:rRNA from 1 species
UACGAAGGGGGCUAGCGUUGUUCGGAAUCACUGGGCGUAAAGCGCACGUAGGCGGAUUGUUAAGUCGGGGGUGAAAUCCUGAGGCUCAACCUCAGAACUGCCUUCGAUACUGGCGAUCUUGAGUCCGGAAGAGGUUGGUGGAACAGCUAGUGUAGAGGUGAAAUUCGUAGAUAUUAGCUAGAACACCAGUGGCGAAGGCGGCCAACUGGUCCGGAACUGACGCUGAGGUGCGAAAGCGUUGGGGAGCAAACAGGAUUAGAUACCCGGUG